ACACGGUCCAGGCUCCUACGGGAGGCAGCAGUGGGGAAUAUUGGACAAUGGGCGAAAGCCUGAUCCAGCCAUGCCGCGUGUGUGAAGAAGGUCUUCGGAUUGUAGAGCACUUUAAGUUGGGAGGAAGGGCAGUAAAUUAAUACUUUGCUGUUUUGACGUUACCNACANAAUAAGCACCGCCUAACUCUGUGCCAGCAGCCGCGGUAAUACAGAGGGUGCAAGCGUUAAUCGGAAUUACUGGGCGUAAAGCGCGCGUAGGUGGUUUGUUAAGUUGGAUGUGAAAGCCCCGGGCUCAACCUGGGAACUGCAUUCAAAACUGACAAGCUANAGUAUGGUAGAGGGUGGUGGAAUUUCCUGUGUAGCGGUGAAAUGCGUANAUAUAGGAAGGAACACCANUGGCGAANGCGACCACCUGGACUGAUACUGACACUGANGUGCGAAAGCGUGGGGAGCAAACAGGAUUAGAUACCCUGGUAGUCCACGCC
rnacentral:rRNA from 1 species